rnacentral:rRNA from 1 species
GAUGAACGCUGGCGGCGUGCCUAAUACAUGCAAGUCGAGCGAACGGACGAGAAGCUUGCUUCUCUGAUGUUAGCGGCGGACGGGUGAGUAACACGUGGAUAACCUACCUAUAAGACUGGGAUAACUUCGGGAAACCGGAGCUAAUACCGGAUAAUAUUUUGAACCGCAUGGUUCAAAAGUGAAAGACGGUCUUGCUGUCACUUAUAGAUGGAUCCGCGCUGCAUUAGCUAGUUGGUAAGGUAACGGCUUACCAAGGCAACGAUGCAUAGCCGACCUGAGAGGGUGAUCGGCAACACUGGAGCUGAGACACGGUCCAGAAUCGUACGGGAGGCAGCAGUAGGGAAUCUUCCGGAAGGGGCGAAAGCGUGACGGAGCAACGGCGCGUGAGUGAUGAAGGUCUUCGGAUCGUAAAUCUCUGUUAUUAGGGAAGAACAUAUGUGUAAGUAACUGUGCACAUCUUGACGGGACCUAAUCAGAAAGCCACGGUAAACUACGU